ACCUGGAACCAUGACCUGUUCUCCACCUGAGCUUGGGAGUUCUUCAGAACUUCAGUCGCCCUCUGCAGGGUUUCCCCGAUGUCAGCUAAGAGUUUUGGAAGGAGAUGGAGUCGAGUAUUGGUUCUGUACGUCUUGUCAAGAUGGAGGAUGGGAGAUUCUGCACACUUUGUUCCAAUUGUUCUCACUUCAAAAGCUGCAUUCAGUUGACCCUCGAGCAAGGCUCCAGAGUGGUGGCUCCCUUAUUAAUGCUAGCAGUAGGGACCAUCAGUGUUGCUGAGGACUAUGCUGAAUCUCGUCACAAUUGUAUUUGCACCUCGGGGUGUAACGAGGACAAUUAAGUGAAUAGUGUAAGUUGCAGCUUCCAGUUGUGUCUGUUAGUUUUCCUACAUUCCUUAAUGUUAAGUGUCUGCCACCUCAGCUUGCCUGACGAGAAGCUGUCAAGGCAGAAAUUCUGGCAUAAAUACUAAUAUGUUUGUUUUAUGUAUACAAUCAAUAUGAAUAUAUCAGUGUGAAUUUAGUUUUUCACAGUUUUGCCUUCAAAUUAGUUUGCAUGUUAUGAGAACUUUGGUUUGAAUUCAUUUUCCUUCGUUAUUGUCUCAUUAUAAGUGUAAAUGUGAGUAUAGCAUUUUAUUUCACUGGUGUUGCAAAACAGAAGACAUUUUGCUUUACUUGCACUCAUUGCUCUAAAAUAGACCAAACAGCAACAUGAAUAAUGAUUGAUAUUCUCCCCUUCCCCAUAUGAUUCUCUGCACAACACUACCCAUCAACUAUUCCUCAUAUGAUUGCAACAUUUGAAGAGAAUUUUGGGAAAGUAAAUUGUGUAACUGCUAUCAGGUAUGUUUGAAGAUAUAUGUUUAAUAUCAUAAGCAUAAUUUCAGUGUGAAGUCAGAUCCCAUCUGACCAGGAAGCUCUACCAAAGACGUAUCCUAGUUUUGGGUAAUCUUUACACACAAUCUACAAAACAAGGUUGUUCGUCAUGGUCUGUGUAGGACUGCAACUAACAAUUAUUGUAAUACAAAACAAAAUGGGGAUUCAUUUUCUGUAACUGUUGCAGCUCCAGCUGUACCUUUUUGUUUUAUUUGGUCUCCAAAAUAUCUAUAUCAGUAUCAGCCUCAAAAAUGUACAAAGUAAAUCUGACCCCAAUUAAGCUUACCCAAAGUAAUAUUUUGUUGUGACUGUGAGAGAGUGCAUGUUCAUUUUGGAAGACGUAGCCUGAGGGUAGUGUUUUGUUUGGUUUCUCUGUACUAAAAAUAUGUUGUUGUUUUUAAUUUUGCCCACCAUGUGCAAUAAAUUAGUAGGAGUGAGAGAGUGCUGAGAUGCCCAAAUAUAAUAAUAAUAUAAAGAUGGA